AGUAGCAGUCUUCGAAGUACACCUUCAGGUCACUCCAUCAAGUCAGAAACUAAAUAUGAAAUUUAUAAUCCCAUAAGUAUAAAAUCUAUAAAUAAAAUGAAUGCGUGAAGGAUCAAGUUUAUUAGGUCAAAUAUUUUGUAUUCGUACAGUGAUCUUUUCGUAAACGAGGAGCUGCUUACAAGCGUCACAGUGUCCACUCACAACGGCGGCCGAGCGCAGACUAAAAUAUUUCAUUACAAAUUUUUGUGCAAUAAAUCAAGAUGAGCCAGUAAAAUAACCCUUAUUUCAAUCCAAUAAGUAUCACGCGUUACAACUAAAUAUGUGAAAAAAUAAGGUUUGAUUUCUCAGCCUAUUUGUAACAUUUUGAUAGUUUUCUUUGCUACCUUUUUGAGUUGGACAUGUCUGCUUACUUAAAAUAUUUUUAAAUCAUUAAAUUUAUUUUAUUAAAUACAUGAAAAAUGUUCCUUUAUUCAGCACGAUAUUGUCAAUUUUGUGUGAAAGGGCAACGGAAAAUAUUUUUUAUAAUAUUAUAAACCAAAAUUUUCGACUAAAAAAUUGCUACCAUUUAAAGAUUAACCCUUAAUUCACUACCUGAGUCCAUUGGACUCACAUCGAACUUUCAAACUAUUAUAUUUUUUUCCCCUGGUGACUUAUUUCCUCCACCGUCUCAGUACCUUCCUGCAGUGACGUGGGCACCGCGGUAGCGAGAGGACGUGCGCCUGCGCUGCGUAAUAGGUUUGUAAAAUGGAUCUAAAACAACAUAAAGUUGUAAAUAUGAAUGAAGACCAGGCAGAUUCUGUUUUGGAAUCAUGGAUCACACAAAUUAUGAAUGAUGAAGAUGCGAGCCAUUCUGAAACCGAAGACAAGCUAUCUAGGACAGAAAGAAAGCAUUGUUAUCCAUGUAAUUACAAAAAGAGAACAAAGACUGCACAUUCAGGCACUAGAUGUCUGAAGCCUGUAUGUUUGAGUUGCUCAAAAAUGGCAUGCCGUCGCUGCCUGCAAUCGGUGGCAAUACCCCAUUGCACGUUUUAUUUUUUUGUAUAGAAGCGUACAUUUUUGUUGUUUAUUUUCGGUUUUGCAUUCCUUUAGAAGUCUUAUAAAAUUAAAAAGAGCCAUUAGUUAAAAAUAUUUGCCAUUAUUGUAGGGCUUUGAAAAUAACUCUGUUUUCUAAGACUAUUAGAAUAAGUUUUUUUUUAUUUUUAAGAGUAUUUCAGAAGUUUAUCCAGUUUUAUUAUUUUUUUGUAGUGCCUUAAUAAACAUUUAAAAAUAAUAAUAAAAAAACUUAAUAAAAAAAAGAGUUUUAUUUGAAAAAAACACGCCAAGAAAAUAUAUGAGUCCAGUGGACUCAUGGAAGCUGUUUAUGUUAGCAAAUUUCACCUAGUGAAUUGAGGGUUAAGGAUUAAUCUAUCUAUAGUAAUUAUUAGUUUAAUUUGGUUUUGUAUUAUUUUGUCGCAAAAUGUACCGAAAAACUGCUUAUUUUUGUCAGAUUCGUAAACGCGUCCUUAAGAACAUCGUUUUGGUUAGGCUUCCAUUAUCAAGCAAUUUUAAACUUCAUUCAAUUGACAUACAGUUCAAAUUAUUUUGUACUUUUCAAAGACCUAAGGGAGAGUCUGUUCUGCCAACUUUUAGAAAAAAUAAAAACAUUUCUAAUGUUGGCCCCUCCGAUGUAAUCAUUUAAUAUUAGAUUUAAUAUUUUAGUUUUAAUUAUUUAUUAUUAUUUCUUAUUUUUUUUUAAACCUUAUUUUUGUAUAUUUUAAUUUUAAGCUAAUACAUUAAUAAAUUAUUUCUUUCUUUCUUCGAUUUCUUGUCAAUGGUUAAGACUUAAGCAUAGACAACCUCUUGAUGUUGAUUUGUUGUUUGAAAUUUGAAUUCAAAAUGGCGUUUUAUUAAUUGUUUUGGUGGAAGAUAAACAAAAUCUGUUCUUCGUAUAUCGUAGAUUUUCUUACUUAUUUACUCAGUUAAUGUACAGUACAUUGAAUUUUUUAAUUUGUUAUAUUUCUGCCAAAAGUGAAAGAAGAAGAAAAAGUGUUAUGUGUAAACAAUGUUAAAAUCUUUGUGUAGAUAAUAAUUGAUAAUAAUUAUUAAUGUGAUUUGUGACUAAGUAUUUGCAAUAUAUACCCAAUGACUGUUCUAUUAAAGGAAGAUAUAAAAAAUAAUAAUUUUUACGAGAAAACUUCUCUAUUACGUCAUGUUCUGGCUGUAGAAUCAAUUGGAGAGGAGAUAAUAUUAUUAUUGUUUUGUCCAAAGAAAACAACGACUUCUUACAAUUCCAAUAUGGCGAUCCGAACGGCAACGAUAUAUUGGAAAUUUAGAAUGAGAUUUUAAAAUAGAAAUCCCGCAAAAUAUUUCAAGGAAAAGUAUAAAAUGUGAAUCUAGUUGUAUUCACAUAAUAUUUAAGCCGAAUUAAGUCCUACAUGCCUAAAUAAAGAUAUUCAGUAAAAUUCAAAAUUCAAAUGGAAUUAUCCAUUUUUGCUGAUAAUAGUGAGUUUUAAUAUUAUAUAAAAAUGUUAUAUAUAGGUAAUUAUUAUUAUAUUAUAAUAAACUUAUUGAUCUACA